UCCAGUGUUCCGAGAACUGGCAUCGCUCUGCAGUAACAAUUUACCUGCCUACAACCUACAUCUACAGACUGUCUCCAGUCAUGACAGACGACCAUGGGUCCUACUACUACAGGUACUUUGAAGACUCCUGCUUGAUGGCGGUAUUUCAAGAAUUUUGCUGAAACAAUGGCUGCUCGACAGACAGAAAAAAUGAUCCCUGCGUUAUUCUUAUCUAUGUAUGCAAGAUACACUAGCAGUUAGAAAAUGAAGAAUGUUCCUAAAGUCCCUGACCAUGACUGAAUGUUGAAAGAAAGUAAAAGAAAGGCGCCUUCAAGACAGCAGUAUCUCUAAGGACACUACCCUUAACCAAGACUGAAAACUGAAGAAAUGUAUUUAAGGCCUUAAUUAUUAAAUAAUGAAGUAAUUUUUUGUCUUUUUAGUUAAAAGCAAGGCUAAUAUUUUUCUUAAGAGUCCAAAACAUAGCGUACCCACUCCGCUCUCACUUGCAACAAAAUGCCUUUAUGGCUAAAAGGCUAUUUCCUAUUAUUUAUUUUUAAAACCUCGGUAUCCAAAAUGAAUCUAAAAGGAACCAAAACGUAGCCUAAAAGGCUACUUUUACAUAGAUAUUAAAAUACCGUAGUAACCCAGGUAAACUACAUCCUGUGUCACGUUUCACCAAAAUGUCACUCUCCACCCCUCUCUUAACCUAUAUAAAUAAAUAUAUAAAUACAUAAUUCCCUAAUUACACUAAUAUUUGGCCACGUGAUCGUCUAGUCUAGUAGUUAGGACCCCUCUGAAGUGAACCGAGAUACCCUAGAUUCUUUAAUGAGUAACAGCUAUAUUUUGGACUCUAAUUUUAUUUUACUUUACCUAGAUUGUAAGAAGAUAAUUAUGGUACUGAAGAUAUGUUUUAUUAUGAUAUUAAAGAAUAAUCUGAAGGGUAUUUUAAUUGAGUCUCAGACACAGUAUAUUGAACAAAUUUCAAGGCAAGAUAUUAUUGUUUUUGUUAAAUAUUCGAAUGGUAUGAAUAUAAUAUGAAUUUAAAAAUGUUUUUGGUAAAAUCCUGCUACGCCUAUUAAGCUCCCGGGGUACUAUAGAGGCAGCACUCCUGAGGUAAGCUCAUUUACUCCCUAGCAUUUUAAGAAUAAUUAUAUUUAACUAUCAUCUUCUAAACGACGUGUGAUUUACUCACACAUACUACCUCCAUAUUUCGAUGCAGGUCUGGGAGCUCUUAGUCCGAUAACAAUAUCAAUCGGAUCACCUACCCUACCUCUAGCCAGACGGGCUUUGACCAGCACUCCGGAACCUAUGCGCACCUAGAUGACGAUGGAAAGAAGUGCCAAAGUAUCCAUCAGUCAUCAAAAUUACUUAUCUUUUUAUAUUCAAAAGCUAGGGAUACUAAUCCCUUAGUCCCAUUCCCCAGAACUGAUAAUAUAGUCAGAAUUCC